UACGGAGGGUGCAAGCGUUGUUCGGAAUCACUGGGCGUAAAGGGCGUGUAGGCGGUCCGCUAAGUCUGAUGUGAAAGCCCGAGGCUUACCCUCGGAAGUGCAUUGGAGACUGGCGGACUGGAGUCCCGGAGAGGAGGGUGGAAUUCCUGGUGUAGCGGUGAAAUGCGUAGAUAUCAGGAGGAACACCGGUGGCGAAGGCGGCCCUCUGGACGGUGACUGACGCUGAGACGCGAAAGCGUGGGUAGCAAACAGG
rnacentral:rRNA from 1 species